CGUUAUUUAUAGAUAUAAAGACUUCCCUUGGUCUGGUAUCAUCAGCACUUUCUACUUCUUUUAGUUUGGUGUUCUACAAUUCAGGAAUUGAUUCUACUCAGUUAAACUUCUUCAAAAUCUUGCUUUAUCCUAAAUUCUUCAGAACGUGAAAGAGCCAAGCAGGAGAUCAGUGGGUGCCAACUUCAGGAUGUUUUCUGGCACAGGAAUACUUGGGGGUGGACUGACAUAUAUCUUCGUAGCUGCUAUUUGCUUUCUGUUCAAGUCCCUGGCCAGGACUGGUGAUACCCAUUGGGAAACAGGUCCUGCCCAUGCCUCACAAGGAGCCCAGAAGACAUAUGGAAGACAUUCAAAGAAAAAUUAAGUAAAAACUACCGCAUAAUCAAGCAAGUCUAAAGAUUCUAGAAGCAUCUCUCACUGGAACCCAGAGCAGUCCUCCUCCUUCUGGGCUUUCCUAGCCCAGGAUCUGCCUUCCUUACAAAUGAGGAAAUAACUUACCCACUGCCUGCACCUUGGAUCUUGUAAUAUGAUUCACUUUGAUAAAUCACUUGACCAAAUAAAUAGGAAUUUAAUAUGUAUUUUAACCAACAGGUCUUCCCAAGGCAUUUAUUUUUUUCCCCAAGACAUUUAUAAAUUGGUGGUGUGGAGCCUAUAAAUUAGCCUUAGUGUACACAUAAACAUGUAUAUAUGAGAUUUUGUGGGUUGGAAGAAUAAAUAUCUAGAAAUGUGA